UGCUGCAUUGUAACUUGGUGAUGUCGGACUGUAAGUUGGUGAUGUAGGACUGUAGCUAGGGGAAGUAGGACUGUAGCCCGGAGAAGUAGGGCUAUAAGCUGGUGAAGUUGGACUAUAAGAAGGUGAUGUCGGACUGUAAGAAGGUGAGGUAGGACUGUAAGAAGGCGAGGUAGGACUGUAAGAAGGCGAGGUAGGACUGUAUGCAGGAGAGGUUGGGCUAUAGACAGGAGAGGUUGGGCUAUAAGCUGGUGAUGUGGGGCUGUAGCUGGGUGAUGUGGGGCUGUAGCUGGGUGAUGUGGGACUGUAACUGGGUGAAGUGGGGCUGUAACUGGGUGAAGUAGGGCUAUAGCUUGGUGAUGUUGGGCUGUAACUGGGUGAGGUGGGUGAAUAUGAUGGACUUGUUGGAGAAUAAGCAGGACUGGUUGGACUGUAGCCAGGAGAACUAGGACUAUAGGUAGGAGAUGUGGGACUGUAACCAGGAGAUGUUGGGCUAUAACCUGGUGAGGUAGGGCUGUAACCAGGAGAGGUAGGACUGUAUCCAGGAGACGAUGGACUAUAGCCUGGGGAUGAUGGACUGUAUCCAGGUGAAGAGCUAGGAGAAAAGGCCAUCCCACCAACAUAAGGUGAAAACUGAGCAUCGGUUAUUGGUGAAGAACGAAUAUUUGGACUGAGCAAAUAAUUGGGGGACAUCAUACCAUCUAGGUGUCCUGGAGAAAUAGGUGAAUGAGAAGGUGUCAUACCAAA
rnacentral:lncRNA from 1 species